rnacentral:rRNA from 1 species
UACAGAGGUCUCAAGCGUUGUUCGGAUUCAUUGGGCGUAAAGGGUGCGUAGGCGGCUUAUUAAGUCAGGGGUGAAAGACGGUGGCUCAACCAUCGCAGUGCCCUUGAUACUGAUGAGCUUGAAUACACUUGAGGUAGGCGGAAUGUGACAAGUAGCGGUGAAAUGCAUAGAUAUGUCACAGAACACCAAUUGCGAAGGCAGCUUACUAAGGUGCAAUUGACGCUGAGGCACGAAAGCGUGGGGAUCAAACAGG